GAUGAACGCUGGCGGCGUGCUUAACACAUGCAAGUCGAACGGAACUACUCCAAUGAGAGUCUUCGGAAAGGAUUUGGUUUAGUUUAGUGGCGGACGGGUGAGUAACGCGUGGGUAACCUGCCCUAUACAGGGGGAUAACAGUUGGAAACGACUGUUAAUACCGCAUAAGCGCACAGGAGCGCAUGCUCCGGUGUGAAAAACUCCGGUGGUAUAGGAUGGACCCGCGUCUGAUUAGCUGGUUGGCGGGGUAACGGCCCACCAAGGCGAAGAUCAGUAGCCGGCCUGAGAGGGUGAACGGCCACAUUGGGACUGAGACACGGCCCAAACUCCUACGGGAGGCAGCAGUGGGGAAUAUUGCACAAUGGGGGAAACCCUGAUGCAGCGACGCCGCGUGAGCGAAGAAGUAUCUCGGUAUGUAAAGCCCUAUCAGCAGGGAAGAAAAUGACGGUACCUGACGAAGAAGCCCCGGCUAACUACGUG
rnacentral:rRNA from 1 species